UACAGAGGUCCCAAGCGUUGUUCGGAUUCAUUGGGCGUAAAGGGUGCGUAGGCGGCGCGGUAAGUCGGGUGUGAAAUCUCGGGGCUUAACUCCGAAACUGCAUUCGAUACUGCCGUGCUUGAGGACGGGAGAGGAGACUGGAAUUUACGGUGUAGCGGUGAAGUGCGUAGAUAUCGUAAGGAAGACCAGUGGCGAAGGCGGGUCUCUGGACAGUUCCUGACGCUGAGGCACGAAGGCCAGGGGAGCAAACGGG
rnacentral:rRNA from 1 species